rnacentral:rRNA from 1 species
GCUCAUUAAAUCAGUUAUCGUUUAUUUGAUAGUACCUUACUACUUGGAUAACCGUGGUAAUUCUAGAGCUAAUACAUGCUGAAAACCCCGACUUCGGAAGGGGUGUAUUUAUUAGAUAAAAAGCCAAUGCCCUUCGGGGCUCCUUGGUGAUUCACAAUAACUUCUCAGAUCGCAUGGCCUUGCGCCGGCGACGGUUCAUUCAAAUUUCUGCCCUAUCAACUUUCGAUGGUAAGGUAUUGGCUUACCAUGGUUUCAACGGGUAACGGGGAAUUAGGGUUCGAUUCCGGAGAGGGAGCCGGAGGAACGGCUACCACAUCCAAGGAAGGCAGCAGGCGCGCAAAUUACCCAAUCCCGACACGGGGAGGUAGUGACAAUAAAUACUGAUACAGGGCUCUUUUGGGUCUUGUAAUUGGAAUGAGUACAAUUUAAACCUCUUAACGAGGAACAAUUGGAGGGCAAGUCUGGUGCCAGCAGCCGCGGUAAUUCCAGCUCCAAUAGCGUAUAUUAAAGUUGUUGCAGUUAAAAAGCUCGUAGUUGAACCUUUGGCCUGGCUGGCGGGUCCGCCUCACCGCGUGCACUCGUCCGGCCGGGCCUUCUCUUCUGGAGAACCGCAUGCCCUUCACUGGGUGUGUUGGGGACCAGGACUUUUACUUUGAAAAAAUUAGAGUGUUCAAAGCAGGCCUUUGCUCGAAUACGUUAGCAUGGAAUAAUGGAAUAGGACGUGCGGUCCUAUUUUGUUGGUUUCUAGGACCGCCGUAAUGAUUAAUAGGGACAGUCGGGGGCAUCAGUAUUCAAUUGUCAGAGGUGAAAUUCUUGGAUUUAUUGAAGACUAACUACUGCGAAAGCAUUUGCCAAGGAUGUUUUCAUUAAUCAGUGAACGAAAGUUAGGGGAUCGAAGACGAUCAGAUACCGUCGUAGUCUUAACCAUAAACUAUGCCGACUAGGGAUCGGGCGGUGUUAUUAUUUUGACUCGCUCGGCACCUUACGAGAAAUC